rnacentral:rRNA from 1 species
GCGAAACGUGGUGCCAGCGGAGGCGGUAAGACGAAGGGUGCAAGCGUUAAUCGGAAGUACUGGGCGGAAAGCGCGCGUAGGGGGUUCAGCAAGUUGGAGGUGAAAUCCCCGGGCUCAACCUGGGAACUGCCUCCAAAACUACUGAGCUAGAGUACGGUAGAGGGUAGUGGAAUGUCCUGUGUAGCGGUGAAAUGCGUAGAUAUAGGAAGGAACACCAGUGGCGAAGGCGACUACCUGGACUGAUACUGACACUGAGGUGCGAAAGCGUGGGGAGCAAACAGGAUUAGAUACCCGGUAGUC